rnacentral:Y_RNA from 1 species
GACUGGUCUGAAGGUAGUGAGUUAUCUCAAUUGGUUGUUCCCAGUCAGUUACAGAUUGAACUCCUUUUUCUACUUUUCCCCCCUUCUUACUGCAAUUGACUACUCUUAA